GGUAUGGGAUGAGCUUGCGUCCGAUUAGCUAGUUGGCGGGGCAACGGCCCACCAAGGCGACGAUCGGUAGCCGGCCUGAGAGGGUGAUCGGCCACAUUGGGACUGAGAUACGGCCCAGACUCCUACGGGAGGCAGCAGUAGGGAAUAUUGCACAAUGGGGGAAACCCUGAUGCAGCAACGCCACGUGUGGGAAGAAGCAUUUCGGUGUGUAAACCACUGUCAUGAGGGAAUAAGGCCCGCCUUCGGACGGGAUUGAAUGUACCUUGAGAGGAAGCACCGGCAAACUUCGUGCCAGCAGCCGCGGUAAUACGAGGGGUGCAAGCGUUGUUCGGAAUUACUGGGCGUAAAGGGAGCGUAGGCGGAGAUUCAAGCGGAUUGUACAAUCCCGGGGCCCAACCCCGGCUCUGUAGUCCGAACUGGAUCUCUUGGAUAGUUCAGGGGCAGGC
rnacentral:rRNA from 1 species